UUUACUUUUACCCCAAUUCCUUUUUACUUUGAAUAUUCCUCCGUCUUCUCCCUUCAACGAAACUCAAAUGGUCAGCAAUGGAAAUCAACACGACGGCGGCGGAAAUAGGCACAACAGCGGUGGAGUUCGGCACAGCGACGGCGGAGUUCAGAACAUCAGUGCUAUUGAGAAGAAAGACGAAUCAAAGCCGUCAACGUCUCUUCACAAGCUCACCGUCAGUAGUUUGUAUUCAUAUUAGCAAAUUCAUCAUCGCCGAUUGCCUCAUAUUCAAUCAGAUUGAAUUCGAACUGUACGACCAUGCCGUUUGGUGACUACUAAUAUCCAUUUUAUUCAAUUGUUGGGCCUUGUAUGGGUAAUUGCAGAUAGCAACCAAAUUAGCUGUUGUGGAGUUCGAUUUUUGAUCUCCUAUUUGAAGGUAGUUCUUUGAUUGAAGGAAUGAAGAGCAGACAUGAGGAUACAUCACCAUGAUGAAGAACUUCCUUCAGGUUUUGUCAGUUUAGAUUGUGGAGGCAAAGACAAUUUCACAGAUGAACUUGGUCUUGAAUGGACUCCUGAUACUCAAAUGAUUAGCGGAGUUAUAGUCAAUCUCUCUGUAGCAAAUGAGACGAGGACACAAUAUAUGGCCUUGAGAUACUUUCCAGCCGAUAACAGGAAGUAUUGCUAUACACUUGAUGUGAUUCCCCAAACAGGUACCUUGUAAGAGCAACUUUUCUAUAUGGAAACUUUGAUAACGACAAUGUUUACCCAUAUCUCAGUUGGGGCAACUCAUUGGGCUACAAUAGUUAUACCUGAUGCUAAUACAAUGGAGUACCAAGAGGUAAUAUAUCUAGCCAAGGAACCUUCCGUAAGUGUCUGUUUAUCUAAUGCAACCACUGCAUUUUCCUUCAUUUCUAGUUUCUACGCUUGAGCUCUGACAAUUUAAUGGUUCAAUAUAUAUUACUGAAUUUGAGAAUGAUUUUUUCAUGAGCGUCUCUGCAAGGAUAAAUUUUGGCACAGAGAGUGAUGAUCCUGUCAGGUACCCUGAUGACCCAUUCGAUAGAAUAUGGACGUUAUUGGGUACAGGCUCGGUUUUCUCAAGCUCCGCCCCUGAUUACAAGGUGGUACUUGAACCCUCAUCAAUAAUAUGAAAGUUCAGAUAGUUAAUUAACUAAACCGUUAAAAAUUGACUCGUGAUUUGAAGUUUGAACAGUUUUGACCAACCCCCAGAGUACAUUGAAUGAUUUUGGUGCGUGCUACUCACCAUUCCACAAACUUCAGCCAACUACCUUUCUAGGGGAAUUCGGAUUAUUGGAACUCACUUAUG